rnacentral:tRNA from 1 species
AACUAAUGAGCUUGAAUAAGCAUAUAUUUUGAAAAUAUAAGAUAAAGACAUUACUUUAUUAGCUU